AUUGAACGCUGGCGGCAGGCCUAACACAUGCAAGUCGAGCGAGCGGCGGACGGGUGAGUAAUGUAUGGGGACUGCCCGAUAGAGGGGGAUAACUACUGGAAACGGUGGCUAAUACCGCAUACUAUCGGAUAACCCAUAUGGGAUUAGCUAGUAGGUGGGGUAAAGGCUCACCUAGGCGACGAUCUCUAGCUGGUCUGAGAGGAGGAUGAGCCACAAGGGGAAUGGGACAAGGCCCAGACUCCUAAGGAGGCAGCAGUGGGGAAUAUUGCACAAUGGGCGAAAGCCGGAUGAAGCCAUACCGCGGGUAGGAAGAAGGCCUUAGGGUUGUAAAGUACUUUCAGCGGGGAGGCGUUACCCGCAGAAGAAGCACCGGCUAACUCCGUGCCAGCAGCCGCGGUAAUAC
rnacentral:rRNA from 1 species